rnacentral:rRNA from 1 species
CCUACGGGAGGCAGCAGUGAGGAAUAUUGGUCAAUGGACGAAAGUCUGAACCAGCCAAGUCGCGUGAAGGAUGACUGCCCUACGGGUUGUAAACCUCUUUUAUAUGGGAAUAAAAUGUUCCACGUGUGGGAUUUUGUAUGUACCAUAUGAAUAAGGAUCGGCUAACUCCGUGCCAGCAGCCGCGGUAAUAAGGAGGGUCCGAGCGUUUUCCGGAUUUAUUGGGUUUAAAGGGAGCGUAGGUGGAUUGUUAAGGCAGUCGGUAAAGUUUGCGGCUUAACCGUAGAAGUGCCGUUGAAACUGGCAGUCUUGAGUACAGUAGAGGUGGGCGGAAUGCGUGGUGUAGCGGUGAAAUGCUUAGAUAUCACGAAGAACGCCGAUUGCGAAGGCAGCUCACUGGACUGCAACUGACACUGAGGCUCGAAAGUGUGGGUAUCAAACAGGAUUAGAUACCCGAGUAGUC